AAGCUAUUUCAUAAUCUCCCAACUGAAAUUGCAAAUUAAGAAAUGAGGAACAACGGUACACAAUCAACAUACAUUGCUGAACAUCAUAAGUGUUCAUGCACUCAAGAUGAUACUUUUUUAAAGAGCAUGUUACUCAUCAGCUUCUCAGAAAGUUGUACCUUUAUAUCAUCAAAUGGGAAGAAAAUUAAUCCAGAUCUCUCUUAAAAUUAUGGACUCACAAGGAAAUCAAUGUUCUCUGGCAGAAUACCUUGUAAGCACACAAAUCAGAGGUAACAUCAAUAUUCUCUUCAAUUUGGGGAGCAUAAACUUGAGGGCAGACAUGUUUUAAGCAGUGUUGU
rnacentral:misc_RNA from 1 species